GACGAACGCUGGCGGCGUGCCUAAUACAUGCGAGUAGAACGCACAGUUUAUACCGUAGCUUGCUACACCAUAGACUGUGAGUUGCGAACGGGUGAGUAACGCGUAGGUAACCUGCCUGGUAGCGGGGGAUAACUAUUGGAAACGAUAGCUAAUACCGCAUAAUAUUAAUUAUUGCAUGAUAAUUAAUUGGAAGGUGCAAUUGCACCACUACCAGAUGGACCUGCGUUGUAUUAGCUAGUAGGUGAGGUAACGGCUCACCUAGGCGACGAUACAUAGCCGACCUGAGAGGGUGAGCGGCCACACUGAGACUGAGACACGGCCCAGACUCCUACGGGAGGCAGCAGUAGGGAAUCUUCGGCAAUGGACGAAAGUCUGACCGAGCAACGCCGCGUGAGUGAAGAAGGUUUUCGGAUCGUAAAGCUCUGUUGUAAGAGAAGAACGGGUGUGAGAGUGGAAAGUUCACACUGUGACGGUAUCUUACCAGAAAGGGACGGCUAACUACGUG
rnacentral:rRNA from 1 species